rnacentral:rRNA from 1 species
UGGGGAAUAUUGCACAAUGGAGGGAACUCUGAUGCAGCGACGCCGCGUGAACGAAGAAGGCUUUCGAGUCGUAAAGUUCUUUUAUAUGGGAAGAUAAUGACGGUACCAUAAGAAAAAGCCCCGGCUAACUACGUGCCAGCAGCCGCGGUAAUACGUAGGGGGCUAGCGUUGUCCGGAAUCACUGGGCGUAAAGGGUUCGCAGGCGGAAAUGCAAGUCAGGUGUAAAAGGCAGUAGCUUAACUACUGUAAGCAUUUGAAACUGCAUAUCUUGAGAAGAGUAGAGGUAAGUGGAAUUUUUAGUGUAGAGGUGAAAUGCGUAGAUAUUAAAAAGAAUACCGGUGGCGAAGGCGGCUUACUGGGCUCAUUCUGACGCUGAGGAACGAAAGCGUGGGUAGCAAACAGG